UCGGUCCAUGAAAUAGUCCAUGGACCAUGAGAAACAUACGAGAAACAUGCGAGAAAUAGCAUGCGGUCCACGAUAGACUGCAAGAUAUCGAGGGAAAAUGCCCCCUUGGUCCAUAGAGCUCCCUGUGCACCGCUCGGUCCAUGGUGGACCGGGCUACAGGCUCCCAGGUGGGCGCGCUGGGCCUAGGCCGACCCGCGCGCUCGCACACCUAGGCC
rnacentral:lncRNA from 1 species